rnacentral:rRNA from 1 species
UACGCAGGGGGCUAGCGUUGCUCGGAAUCACUGGGCGUAAAGCGCACGUAGGCGGAUUGUUAAGUCAGGGGUGAAAUCCUGGAGCUCAACUCCAGAACUGCCUUUGAUACUGGCGAUCUCGAGUCCGGGAGAGGUGAGUGGAACUGCGAGUGUAGAGGUGAAAUUCGUAGAUAUUCGCAAGAACACCAGUGGCGAAGGCGGCUCACUGGCCCGAUACUGACGCUGAGGCACGAAAGCGUGGGGAGCAAACAGG